UGAUGGUACCUUGCUACUUGGAUAACCGUAGUAAUUCUAGAGCUAAUACAUGCAGGAAUUCCCGACUUCGGAAGGGAUGUAUUUAUUAGAUAAGAAACCAAACCGGUCUCCGGUUGUGUGCUGAGUCAUAAUAACUGCUCGAAUCGCACAGCUCUACGCUGGCGAUGGUUCAUUCAAAUUUCUGCCCUAUCAGCUUUCGAUGGUAGGAUAGAGGCCUACCAUGGCGUUAACGGGUAACGGAGAAUUAGGGUUCGAUUCCGGAGAGGGAGCCUGAGAAAUGGCUACCACAUCCAAGGAAGGCAGCAGGCGCGUAAAUUGCCCGAAUCCUGACACAGGGAGGUAGUGACAAGAAAUAACAAUACAGGGCUCUCUGAGUCUUGUAAUUGGAAUGAGUACAAUUUACAUCUCUUCACGAGGAUCAAUUGGAGGGCAAGUCUGGUGCCAGCAGCCGCGGUAAUUCCAGCUCCAAUAGCGUAUAUUAAAGUUGUUGCAGUUAAAACGCUCGUAGUCGGAUUUCGGGGCGGGGCCGCCGGUCUGCCGAUAGGUAUGCACUGGCGGGCGCGUCCUUUUUCCCGGAGACGGCUGCUACUCUUAACUGAGCGGUGGUCGGAGACGGGAUGUUUACUUUGAAAAAAUCAGAGUGUUUCAAGCAGGCAGUCGCUCUUGCAUGGAUUAGCAUGGGAUAAUGAAAUAGGACUCUGGUGCUAUUUU
rnacentral:rRNA from 1 species